CAAACAACACACGACAAAACAAGCCAUCAGCAACAAAACAUUUAAAAAAACAACAGUAUAAAACACAACAAUACAACAAAGUCAUAAGCCAACAAAGGUCAAUAAUGAUAAUCUAUUUAAACAAGCACACCAAUCAUAAACAACAAGUUCAUGGCCAGUUAUCACCCGGGAUCGAUCCUCAUCUAAUUCCAUCGUAUCAUCGCCAUUAACCUGCCGCCUUUUGAUUUAGUUUUAAUACACCUAGUCAUUUUUAAUUAACCUUGGGUUUAAAGACUUUCACGCGUCCUGAAUUACUAAAAUAAAGGACCUAUUUUUUCAAGAACUCGUUAUUCUGAAAAUUCCACGCAUCAAAACAUUGCGUGAGAUAUAUACAUAAAAUGAAUGUGACUAACCCUAUAUCAUUUUAAUAACGGAUUUAAUGAAAAUGAUUGAUGAAUAUUUAAAACAGGAAUAUUAUUUUUAAAACGAUUCAACGAUAUCAAUAAUAUCGGUUAAUGUUAAAUUAACACUAGAGAAACUAAAGAAAUGAAGGGUUAUAAAAAAUCUAGAAUUGCAAAAUGUAAAAUAAACAACAAAUAGUCCAAGAAAAUUUAAUUAAGCCUUUAGACAUAUCGCCCCUCUGUAUUUUGCAAAGUAUUCAGUGUAGUCUACGAAAGAGAAUUGCAAUUCCGUUUUUGAAUCUUUACCAGGAAAUGCAAUAUCACGUGACUUAUCUACGUCAAGAGGUUAAGUGUCAACUGUCCAUACCAUGGCAACAUGAAUAUAAUAUGCACCUGCAAGUUCACAUAGGAAGCAAGGCGCAAAGUACGGCGCAGAGAUUGGUACAUGCGGCUCCAAGGUGUUGGCGGAUCAACCUCCCCGGGGCACGGGAACCCAGUGUUUCGUGUGUUCUAGGAUUUUGAAAAAUAACAUAGCUUCAAGGCUUGACGCGGAAGCAGGUGGGACGAGGAAUUCAUGAACACGACAUGACUUGUUGUAUAGGAGGGACCCAGCUUGCUCCCCCAUUGUCAAUGACAUACCUGAAUCUAGGAGUCGUCAUAAAACAGCCAAAGCUAGGCCGCAUCAGAAGGACCUUGAAGAAUACAAGGACCACGCCCCACCCUCCUCCAAUGGCCGACCAGGGACCGUCGGUCGAUAACCCGAGCUGCCCCCUCCCGACAGACCUCAUGGCCGGACAUCCACGUGUGUGGCACCCACUGGACUCAUACUUGUAAUAUAUACGACACACGAGGGCAUGUGUUAUCUAAAGUCACGAUUUUGACCGGUCCCCCCGAUGUUGCUCUUCAUUAAAUACCCCGAGAAUUCACAGACAGAACUUCGUGUUAAAAAUGAAAAAACAUUAAAUGCAAAAUUAUGGUUUUAUCUUUGUUUUUUUUUUAAGUGU